UACGUAGGGUGCAAGCGUUGUCCGGAAUUAUUGGGCGUAAAGAGCUCGUAGGCGGUCUGUCGCGUCGGCUGUGAAAACCUGGGGCUCAACUCCGGGCCUGCAGCCGAUACGGGCAGACUAGAAUUCGGUAGGGGAGACUGGAAUUCCUGGUGUAGCGGUGAAAUGCGCAGAUAUCAGGAGGAACACCGGUGGCGAAGGCGGGUCUCUGGGCCGAUAUUGACGCUGAGGAGCGAAAGCGUGGGGAGCAAACAGG
rnacentral:rRNA from 1 species